UUGACAUCCGAUGCUAUUUCUAGAGAUAGAAAGUUACUUCGGUACAUCGGUGACAGGUGGUGCAUGGUUGUCGUCAGCUCGUGUCGUGAGAUGUUGGGUUAAGUCCCGCAACGAGCGCAACCCCUAUUGUUAGUUGCCAUCAUUCAGUUGGGCACUCUAGCGAGACUGCCGGUAAUAAACCGGAGGAAGGUGGGGAUGACGUCAAAUCAUCAUGCCCCUUAUGACCUGGGCUACACACGUGCUACAAUGGUUGGUACAACGAGUUGCGAGUCGGUGACGGCGAGCUAAUCUCUUAAAGCCAAUCUCAGUUCGGAUUGUAGGCUGCAACUCGCCUACAUGAAGUCGGAAUCGCUAGUAAUCGCGGAUCAGCACGCCGCGGUGAAUACGUUCCCGGGCCUU
rnacentral:rRNA from 1 species